rnacentral:lncRNA from 1 species
AUGGGCAGCGCCAUGGCUGGGGGACGCCGGACAGACUCCAGGGCCGGGCUGGAUCAGGGAGGGCCCGAGAAGGCUGCCGAGUCGAGCGAGGUGAUGGAGACUGAAGCUGGCUUCGGAGCUGGGCAGGGCGGGGCUGACCUUCUCUCUCUCUUCCUGCCCCACAGGCCUCGAGGACCGGCCCGGCUCGGGCUCCUGGGGCUCCAGCGACCAGAGCGCGUCCUCCUUCGACCCCGGCCGGACCUACAGCGAGGACGCGCAGGAGUCCAGGCUCUGAUGUUGGGGCCCAACCGGCUGUUGCCUGUGCCGUCCCCCCACUGGGUGACCACAGCGGCUCCGGGGUUGGGAGCGGCCGGGCCUUGGCACUGGGGCUGUAAACGGGGGGCUCAGGCCCGUCCACCAGGAGUCGGCAGGAGCCGCUUCACAGCCAUGUCGUCGGUGGCGGUCCCUAGGCCGCAGCACAUUGGGGGUUCAGUGGAACCCAGGGGAGUGGACGGGCCACCUGUGGACCCUUGGCGGGACUCACUGACAGGGACACGGGGUCUGGAGGACUCUGGGGCCAGCCUUUGCCCCGGACCCCGAGGGGAUGGUGCCUGCCGGGCACGGGACUGGACGCGCUCGGAGCCGUGUGGCCCGGGGUGGCCCUGCACCUGCCGCGGCACAGGUUCCCCUCACUGUUCCUUCCUCCUGCCUCUUCCUGACGCGGGCAGUUCCCACGGUGGCCUGGCCGGCAGGGUGCACAGGGCCCAGCUGUGUCCCAGGCCGCCACCCGGCCCUGCAGCCCAGCAGUCUGGGGUGGGUGCGGGGAGCCCAGGCUGAGCCCGGCAGCCAGGGGGGAGGCGAGUGCCCUGUGCCCCAGGAUGGGCCUGGCCUGUCCCUGUGUGGCCCCAGCCCCGUCUGGCGGUUUAUUCCUUGAGGAGGGUCCUCAUCCUGCCCUCACGCCCUGGUGUGUGGCCCUGGUGCAUGGAUUGGGCGCCUGCUGUAUGCGCACAGCUUCCCUUCUAGAGCCUCAGCAUUCUCUCCCUGCACCCCUCAUCCUUCCUCUCAGGAGACCCCUUUUUGGUGCCUGCUGUAUGCACAGUAGCCCCGUCUCGCAGGGAGCCACUGCCCCGUCGGCGCCGUGCCCAUGCCGCCCCGGGAGGGAGGAGGUGUGGGCGUCGCCUCCGUUCACUUGCUGGCCUGCUGGCCGUUCACUGGCUGGACGCCCCCUGGCCUCCGGGCCUCUGUUUGUUCAUCCCUAAACGGGCCCAGUGCCACCUGCUCCGAGGGGUCACGGAGGUCAGGCUGGAGGGCACAGCCAGUGGGCGCCUCUUCCCCAUCCCCCCAACCCCCCUCCCCCAGCAGCAUUUGCUCCAGGAGUCUGGUCAGAAUUAUCAUCCUUCUAAAGUAAAUUACAGGUUUUUUCCCCAUUAGUUUGAGAAUAGUUCAAAUCAGUCGGCAGAGUGUUCUCGUUCCUUGCUCACAGCAGGGCUGGUCAUGGUCCACCUGCAGUCCACGUUAGUGCCCAGCCUAAGCCAGAAACAGACUUAAAUGGCUCAGGUCCUGAUUGAUCCAGGGACCUGCUUCAGGCAAGGCUGGAUCCAGGCAUCCGUGCAGCCCUGGGAGUCCACCCACACCAGCUGUUCUCUCGGUCAGGCUGUUACCCUCAGAGCCCCAGGCCUCAUCUGUCCACACGGGGAAAAGGCCCCUUUUCCCCAGGUUUCUUGAAUCAAUCUCCCCAGGGAUGUCAUGUGCUCGUUCACAAGCCAAGCACUGGCUGGGAGCUGGGGGUGGCACCGGGAGCCUGGGUGCUGAACCGUGCAGGCACCAGGCACCCCAG